AUACGGAGGAUGCGAGCGUUAUCCGGAUUUAUUGGGUUUAAAGGGUGCGCAGGCGGCACGUCAAGUCAGCGGUCAAAAUGCGGCGCUCAACGCCGUACCGCCGUUGAAACUGGCGGGCUCGAGUGCGUGGGAGGAUGGCGGAAUGUGCGGGUUAGCGGGUGAAUGCAUAGAUAUCGCGCAGAACCCCGAUUGCGAAGGCAGCUGUCCAUCACGCCACUGACGCUCAUGCACGAAAGCGUGGGUAUCGAACAGGAUUAGAUACCCUGGUAGUCCACGCGGUAAACGAUGAUAACUAGUUAUCCGGCCCGAUUGGGGGUUGGGUGACCGAGCGAAAGCGUUAAGUUAUCCACCUGGGGAGUACGCCGGCAACGGUGAAACUCAAAGGAAUUGACGGGG
rnacentral:rRNA from 1 species